rnacentral:rRNA from 1 species
GGUUAAGCGACUAAGCGUACACGGUGGAUGCCCUGGCAGUCAGAGGCGAUGAAGGACGUGCUAAUCUGCGAUAAGCGUCGGUAAGGUGAUAUGAACCGUUAUAACCGGCGAUUUCCGAAUGGGGAAACCCAGUGUGUUUCGACACACUAUCAUUAACUGAAUCCAUAGGUUAAUGAGGCGAACCGGGGGAACUGAAACAUCUAAGUACCCCGAGGAAAAGAAAUCAACCGAGAUUCCCCCAGUAGCGGCGAGCGAACGGGGAGCAGCCCAGAGCCUGAAUCAGUAUGUGUGUUAGUGGAAGCGUCUGGAAAGGCGCGCGAUACAGGGUGACAGCCCCGUACACAAAAAUGCACAUAUUGUGAGCUCGAUGAGUAGGGCGGGACACGUGGUAUCCUGUCUGAAUAUGGGGGGACCAUCCUCCAAGGCUAAAUACUCCUGACUGACCGAUAGUGAACCAGUACCGUGAGGGAAAGGCGAAAAGAACCCCGGCGAGGGGAGUGAAAAAGAACCUGAAACCGUGUACGUACAAGCAGUGGGAGCACGCUUAGGCGUGUGACUGCGUACCUUUUGUAUAAUGGGUCAGCGACUUAUAUUCUGUAGCAAGGUUAACCGAAUAGGGGAGCCGAAGGGAAACCGAGUCUUAACUGGGCGUUAAGUUGCAGGGUAUAGACCCGAAACCCGGUGAUCUAGCCAUGGGCAGGUUGAAGGUUGGGUAACACUAACUGGAGGACCGAACCGACUAAUGUUGAAAAAUUAGCGGAUGACUUGUGGCUGGGGGUGAAAGGCCAAUCAAACCGGGAGAUAGCUGGUUCUCCCCGAAAGCUAUUUAGGUAGCGCCUCGUGAAUUCAUCUCCGGGGGUAGAGCACUGUUUCGGCAAGGGGGUCAUCCCGACUUACCAACCCGAUGCAAACUGCGAAUACCGGAGAAUGUUAUCACGGGAGACACACGGCGGGUGCUAACGUCCGUCGUGAAGAGGGAAACAACCCAGACCGCCAGCUAAGGUCCCAAAGUCAUGGUUAAGUGGGAAACGAUGUGGGAAGGCCCAGACAGCCAGGAUGUUGGCUUAGAAGCAGCCAUCAUUUAAAGAAAGCGUAAUAGCUCACUGGUCGAGUCGGCCUGCGCGGAAGAUGUAACGGGGCUAAACCAUGCACCGAAGCUGCGGCAGCGACACUAUGUGUUGUUGGGUAGGGGAGCGUUCUGUAAGCCUGUGAAGGUGUGCUGUGAGGCAUGCUGGAGGUAUCAGAAGUGCGAAUGCUGACAUAAGUAACGAUAAAGCGGGUGAAAAGCCCGCUCGCCGGAAGACCAAGGGUUCCUGUCCAACGUUAAUCGGGGCAGGGUGAGUCGACCCCUAAGGCGAGGCCGAAAGGCGUAGUCGAUGGGAAACAGGUUAAUAUUCCUGUACUUGGUGUUACUGCGAAGGGGGGACGGAGAAGGCUAUGUUGGCCGGGCGACGGUUGUCCCGGUUUAAGCGUGUAGGCUGGUUUUCCAGGCAAAUCCGGAAAAUCAAGGCUGAGGCGUGAUGACGAGGCACUACGGUGCUGAAGCAACAAAUGCCCUGCUUCCAGGAAAAGCCUCUAAGCAUCAGGUAACAUCAAAUCGUACCCCAAACCGACACAGGUGGUCAGGUAGAGAAUACCAAGGCGCUUGAGAGAACUCGGGUGAAGGAACUAGGCAAAAUGGUGCCGUAACUUCGGGAGAAGGCACGCUGAUAUGUAGGUGAGGUCCCUCGCGGAUGGAGCUGAAAUCAGUCGAAGAUACCAGCUGGCUGCAACUGUUUAUUAAAAACACAGCACUGUGCAAACACGAAAGUGGACGUAUACGGUGUGACGCCUGCCCGGUGCCGGAAGGUUAAUUGAUGGGGUCAGCGCAAGCGAAGCUCUUGAUCGAAGCCCCGGUAAACGGCGGCCGUAACUAUAACGGUCCUAAGGUAGCGAAAUUCCUUGUCGGGUAAGUUCCGACCUGCACGAAUGGCGUAAUGAUGGCCAGGCUGUCUCCACCCGAGACUCAGUGAAAUUGAACUCGCUGUGAAGAUGCAGUGUACCCGCGGCAAGACGGAAAGACCCCGUGAACCUUUACUAUAGCUUGACACUGAACAUUGAGCCUUGAUGUGUAGGAUAGGUGGGAGGCUUUGAAGUGUGGACGCCAGUCUGCAUGGAGCCGACCUUGAAAUACCACCCUUUAAUGUUUGAUGUUCUAACGUUGACCCGUAAUCCGGGUUGCGGACAGUGUCUGGUGGGUAGUUUGACUGGGGCGGUCUCCUCCUAAAGAGUAACGGAGGAGCACGAAGGUUGGCUAAUCCUGGUCGGACAUCAGGAGGUUAGUGCAAUGGCAUAAGCCAGCUUGACUGCGAGCGUGACGGCGCGAGCAGGUGCGAAAGCAGGUCAUAGUGAUCCGGUGGUUCUGAAUGGAAGGGCCAUCGCUCAACGGAUAAAAGGUACUCCGGGGAUAACAGGCUGAUACCGCCCAAGAGUUCAUAUCGACGGCGGUGUUUGGCACCUCGAUGUCGGCUCAUCACAUCCUGGGGCUGAAGUAGGUCCCAAGGGUAUGGCUGUUCGCCAUUUAAAGUGGUACGCGAGCUGGGUUUAGAACGUCGUGAGACAGUUCGGUCCCUAUCUGCCGUGGGCGCUGGAGAACUGAGGGGGGCUGCUCCUAGUACGAGAGGACCGGAGUGGACGCAUCACUGGUGUUCGGGUUGUCAUGCCAAUGGCACUGCCCGGUAGCUAAAUGCGGAAGAGAUAAGUGCUGAAAGCAUCUAAGCACGAAACUUGCCCCGAGAUGAGUUCUCCCUGACCCUUUAAGGGUCCUGAAGGAACGUUGAAGACGACGACGUUGAUAGGCCGGGUGUGUAAGCGCAGCGAUGCGUUGAGCUAACCGGUACUAAUGAACCGUGAGGCUUAACCUU